UUUGCUUUUUAACUAUCUAUAUAUUUUUUUUGUGUCCUUAUUUAAAUCCCCAUUCUUGAUUCCAGACUAACUCUCAUAUAUAUACGUAAAUGUACGAAAGCUUGGCACGUCGAAUACGGAAACCCGGAAAUCUUUUCACCGUUGUAGUUUUUAUACUAUGACGCAAAAUCCAUGGACGCUCGUCUGCUGCUGAAUUCAUGUUUUAAAAGAAUGGACAAAGAUAGUCAGAUAGUUGAUACAAAGACCUUUGAUUUUUCAAACUGAUGGAUCAAAAAGUUAUUAUAAACAGAUAUAUUGAAAUGGGUUAGUAACUUACAUUGUCGAUUAACUGAAUCCGGGGAACGAAAGUCAACGCAACGAAAGUGUUUCGUUUUGAUGGAUUACGUACCAACUUAUUGUACUUGGAAAGCGCAAUGAAAUCCGACUCAAAAUCAUGCUGUUAAUUAGGGCCCCCUGUUGUACAUGUACUUAGGAAUCGGACACCUCCAGAAGAUGAAAGAUCUACUUUACAUCUUUUUCAACGAAAGUACAAUUACUUUGAGAAGUAGGAGAAGCUAAGCAACAGGACAGAAUUCAUUUGAGGCAUUGCUUUCUAGAUUAUAUAGUGGAGUCAUAGAUUGUCCUAUUGAUUUAUGUGGAUAUGAGGAGCAGUAGUCAAUGAAUAAUUUUGUGAUGAGAGCUGUACAUUGUAUUACAACAAAUGGACAGAGGAGUUGACUAUUGAUAGUGACUGAUAAUGGACUGGAGUAACCUAGGGUCCAAUGACUCCAUGCCUGACAGUCCAUGUGUACAUAAUUAGCUCCUCAGAUGUAAAUGGAAGGGAAGCUAUAUACAUUAUAUGUUUAAAUGAAAUUAACAACAGGAUUAGAUAUUGAGGAGAUCCUAUAGCUACAGUAUAUAUAAAUGUUACUGGAUUUUAUCAUUCAAGCAACAUCUUAGAAGGAUAAGUGCAAAUGUAUGAAGGAAGCCUUGGGUACAAAUAGCAAUUACAGCAAUUACAUGCAGGAGAGAACUCUUAACAUUACUAACAGACAUGUAGUCAUUAUAUGGGAAUGGUGUAUUCAAGAAAUCUAAAACACAUGGAAUUAAAUAUCGUGUAUAUUUUUUCAACCACAAGUACUCUCAGAAUAUAAUACAAUUCAAAUUCAAAUUAUUGUGCCAACAUGACAA